AAUCAACGCUGGCGGCGUGCCUAACACAUGCAAGUCGAACGCGAAAGUCCCGCAAGGGAUUAGUAGAGUGGCAAACGGGUGAGUAACACGUGGGUGACCUGCCUUCGAGUGGGGGAUAACGUCCCGAAGGGACGCUAAUACCGCAUGACAUCCUGCCUUUUAACAGGCGGAGAUCAAAGCUGGGGAUCGCAAGACCUAGCGCUUGAAGAGGGGCCCGCGCCUGAUUAGCAGUUGGUGAGGUAACGGCUCACCAAGGCUACGAUCAGUAUCCGGCCUGAGAGGGCGGACGGACACACUGGGACUGAGACACGGCCCAGACUCCUACGGGAGGCAGCAGUAGGGAAUUGUUCGCAAUGGGCGCAAGCCUGACGACGCAACGCCGCGUGGAGGAUGAAGACC
rnacentral:rRNA from 1 species